GUGACACUGAACCCCUCAUACUGAUUUCAAUCAGAGCAGUUCUCUAUUUGAAAAUCAGCAGUUCACAAAAUGGCUGAAAAUAUUUAUAUAAAUACUCCCAUGCGGCAUAAUCCAGGAUCAGCAGUGAAAGAUCAAAAUAAGAAGUGUGUUCUCAAUAAGAGGGAUGGUGUCUAUUUGGUGGUCCUUCUCUCUGUUCUCCUCUUUUUGUCUCUGCUGGCUACUGCAGUGUUGGCUCACCUGUAUUACACCAGUAACACAAAUCAGUUAAUAGGAUGUGAGCCACUGAAAAACAACUCAAAUCUAGGUUUGUAAACCCCAUUUUCUUAUUUUAUCAUAAAUAAAUGUUUCAUUUCUAAUUAAUUUAUCA
ensembl:lncRNA